GAUGAACGCUGGCGGCAUGCCUUACACAUGCAAGUCGAACGGUAACAGGUCUUCGGAUGCUGACGAGUGGCGAACGGGUGAGUAAUACAUCGGAACGUGCCUAGUAGUGGGGGAUAACUACUCGAAAGAGUGGCUAAUACCGCAUGAGAUCUACGGAUGAAAGCAGGGGAUCGCAAGACCUUGUGCUACUAGAGCGGCCGAUGGCAGAUUAGGUAGUUGGUGGGAUAAAAGCUUACCAAGCCGACGAUCUGUAGCUGGCCUGGGAGGACGAUCAGCCACACUGGGACGGAGACACAGCCCAGAAUCCUACGGGAGGCAGCAGUGGGGAAUUUUGGACAAUGGGCGCAAGCCUGAUCCAGCAAUGCCGCGUGCAGGAUGAAGGCCUUCGGGUUGUAAACUGCUUUUGUACGGAACGAAAAGCCCCGGGUUAAUACCCUGGGGUCAUGACGGUACCGUAAGAAUAAGCACCGGCUAACUACGUGCCAGCCGCCGCGGUAA
rnacentral:rRNA from 1 species